rnacentral:rRNA from 1 species
UACGUAGGGGGCAAGCGUUGUCCGGAUUUAUUGGGCGUAAAGCGCGUGUAGGUGGCCAUGUAGGUCCGCUGUGAAAACUUGAGGCUCAACCUCAAGCUGUCGGUGGAAACCACAUGGCUAGAGUCCGGAAGAGGAGAGUGGAAUUCCUGGUGUAGCGGUGAAAUGCGCAGAUAUCAGGAAGAACACCAAUGGCAAAGGCAGCUCUCUGGGACGGUACUGACACUGAGACGCGAAAGCGUGGGGAGCGAACAGG